AUUUUGGACAAUGGGGGCAACCCUGAUCCAGCCAUCCCGCGUGUGCGAUGAAGGCNUUNNGGUUGNANAGCACUUUUGGCAGGNNNNNAACAGCCUGGGCGAAUACCCUGGGCGACUGACGGUACCUGCAGAAUAAGCACCGGCUAACUACGUCCCAGCAGCCGCGGUAAUACGUAGGGCGCAAGCGUUAAUCGGAAUUACUGGGCGUAAAGCGUGCGCAGGCGGUUCGGCAAGAAGGAUGUGAAAUCCCAGGGCUUAACCUUGGAACUGCAUUCUUAACUGCCGGGCUAGAGUAUGUCAGAGGGGGGUAGAAUUCCGCGUGUAGCAGUGAAAUGCGUAGAGAUGCGGAGGAAUACCGAUGGCGAAGGCAGCCCCCUGGGAUAAUACUGACGCUCAUGCACGAAAGCGUGGGGAGCAAAC
rnacentral:rRNA from 1 species